rnacentral:rRNA from 1 species
GAGUUUGAUCUUGGCUCAGGAUGAACGCUAGCUGGAGGCUUAAUACAUGCAAGUCGAGCGGGAUUGGGUAGCAAUACCCAUGAGAGCGGCGCACGGGUGAGUAACGCGUACACGACCUACCUUUGACUGGGGGAUAGCCCUGGGAAACUGGGAUUAAUACCGCAUAUAAUUCUGAUUAAUAAAGGAUUGGAAUGAAAGUUCAGGCGGUCAGAGAUGGGUGUGCGUCUGAUUAGCUAGUUGGUGAGGUAACGGCUCACCAAGGCGAUGAUCAGUAGGGGGCGUGAGAGCGUGGUCCCCCACACGGGUACUGAGACACGGACCCGACUCCUACGGGAGGCAGCAGUAAGGAUAUUGGUCAAUGGGGGAACCCUGACCAGCCAUCCAGCGUGCAGGAAGAAGGCCCUAUGGGUUGUAAACUGCUUUUGUCAGGGAAUAAACCUGUGGAUUUAUCCGCAGCUGAAGGUACCUGAAGAAUAAGCACCGGCUAACUCCGUGCCAGCCGCCGCU